rnacentral:sRNA from 1 species
AGUCAGUCCGCCAGUCCGCCAGCCCGGUACCUCUCUCUCCUCUGCCCUGGUAAGCUGUCCGCGGUCUGUUUGGCCCGAACGGCGGCAGAGGCGCUGAUCAUGGCGACAUUCAUCUCGGUGCAGCUGAAAAAGACCUCAGAGGUGGACCUGGCCAAGCCGCUGGUGAAGUUCAUCCAGCAGACUUACCCGAGCGGCGGGGAAGAGCAGGCCCAGUACUGCCGCGCGGCGGAGGAGCUCAGCAAGCUGCGCCGCGCCGCAGUCGGUCGCCCGCUGGACAAGCACGAGGGCGCGCUCGAGACGCUCCUGAGAUAUUAUGAUCAGAUUUGUUCUAUUGAACCCAAAUUCCCAUUUUCUGAAAAUCAGAUCUGCUUGACAUUUACCUGGAAGGAUGCUUUUGAUAAAGGUUCACUUUUUGGAGGCUCUGUAAAACUGGUUUGCUAGUGGUGCCUUUUUACAUAUUAAAGAGACGGUUUUAUCUGCCUUAAAUCGAGAGCCUACCGUGGACAUAUCUCCAGAUACUGUUGGGACCCUCAGUCUUAUUAUGCUGGCACAGGCUCAAGAAGUAUUUUUUUUAAAAGCCACAAGAG